GAUGAACGCUGGCGGUAUGCUUAACACAUGCAAGUCGAACGGACUCUUCGGAGUUAGUGGCGGACGGGUGAGUAACGCGUGAGAAUCUGGCUUUGGGUUCGGGACAACCACUGGAAACGGUGGCUAAUACCGGACGUGCCGAGAGGUAAAAGAGAAAUUGCCUGAAGAUGAGCUCGCGUCUGAUUAGCUAGUUGGUGAGGUAAAGGCUCACCAAGGCAGCGAUCAGUAGCUGGUCUGAGAGGAUGACCAGCCACACUGGGACUGAGACACGGCCCAGACUCCUACGGGAGGCAGCAGUGGGGAAUUUUCCGCAAUGGGCGAAAGCCUGACGGAGCAAUACCGCGUGAGGGAAGAAGGCUCUUGGGUUGUAAACCUCUUUUCUUAGGGAAGAACAAAAUGACGGUACCUAAGGAAUCAGCAUCGGCUAACUCCGUG
rnacentral:rRNA from 1 species